rnacentral:lncRNA from 1 species
CCGUAAGGUCACAAAAGACAGCACCCCUCCCUCCAGUGAAUCCCCCAGAUGCCAUGUCGCAUGUGGGAGAGCAGCGUGGGGAGAGGAGACACUGCAGAGCCCAAGAAUGUGCCUGAGGGACGACCGUGUCCAGAUGACCUCCUCGUGGCAUUUCCUGGACUGCAUCCAAAGUUACCCCGCAAGAGAGGCUCAAAGGAAGAACACUAAGUUACCAUGAAAUAAAGGAGCCGUGUUACAUAAAAUUACAGAGAAAUCGCAGGAAUGAUGACAAAUGCAGGAUAGCAGUUACCUCUGUGGGAGAAGAUGGGAUGUGCGAGGCCACAGGAAGCUUCGGCUAUUCUGGCUGAGAAGGCGAGGCAGGUGCAAACAAGCAUCUCCAAGGUCACGACCUUCCCUUGCACCUGUCACCGCGCUGGCACAGGACUGUGCAGGGGAAUCCGGAGGUCCCUCGGUUCCUUCCUCUGCCUCCAGACUUUGAACACGGCCACUUCCGGCAGCAGGGCAGCCCUUCCCUCUCAAGGCUCCUCUGGAAACCCGCCCACUGCUUUGGAUUGUGGCAUCUUGAGCAUCUGACGGUUUUUGAUGUGCCUCCUAGCUCUCAGGCCACCCACUGCUACUACUCCUAUUCUGGGCUUGCCCUUCUAGGGGUGCAGCCCUGCCCCAGACCUUCCAUCUGUCCUUCCUCUGGGCCAGGGGAUAACAGCUGGCUAUUGGAUCAGUAACCUGGGAAAGGGCGCAUAGCGAGGUCCCUGAGUCGAAUGUGGUACUUUUCCCAGGUAAUGUAUUUGCAUUUUAAUAGGAGUCCCCUGGGUGGAGGGAGAGUGUUAAUUUAAAGGGAUUUUUCAGGCACUGGAACAAGCUGGUGUGUGUGUGUGUGUUAUGUGAGGAGAGAGAAGAGGAGGAG